UCCUAACUAUGUGGAUGGGUUGAGAAACUUGUAAGUUAAGUUCAUAUUAGAGAAGAACUCUAAUGUUCUGGAUAUUUCUAAUUUUUGGAUGGUCAGUAAUAAUGAGAAGGCAAAAGAUGUCCUUAAGGAUAUCAUUUAUUCAUUUUGUGGUAAAUUUGGAUAUUGGGAGUAUAAUUGUAAGAAUAAUCUUGCAAGUUUGAAGCAAAAUAUAAGUAUAGCACCAAAAGGUGUGAAUAUGAUACAAACCUAUUUUUUUAUUGAGUGGGUCAGACUCUGAUACUUGGGUAUUAGAUACCACCCA
rnacentral:lncRNA from 1 species